GGCUGGGGCGGCACAUCUGUGAAACAAUAGCGCAGGUGUCCUAAGGCAAGCUCAAUGAGAACAGAAAUCUCAUGUUGACCAAAAGGGGAAAAGCUUGCUUGAUUUUGAUUGUCAGUACGAAUACAAACUGUGUUUCCAAGAGCGCGG
rnacentral:ncRNA from 1 species